rnacentral:lncRNA from 1 species
UCCAAUGCUACACUACGGUUCCAAUGACAGAGGAUGGUGGUUCGAAACUAGGAAAAAGAGAGUUCCCAUGAAGGAGAACGAGUGUGAGGUCACACACAGUGAAGGAGAUCAUCGGAUAAUGUGACGGAAGAAGAGACUGCGACAACAGGAAGAAUGAUGGGUUGACAACACAACAAUGAGUGCGACAACAGGGUUUCAGAUAGGGAAAAUCAUGGUUACAGUGAGUGAGGGAUAAUCAGGUUGCAGUGAGUGAGGGAGAAUCAUGGAUUGAUGCUAUGAUUUUAUUUUUGGCUCG